GGGAAUAACAGUUGAAAUGUAAAUAAGAAAUACCCAGUUUAAUAAAGAUGAAGAAAAAAUUGGGAAUGUAUUAACUUAAUAAAACUAACAUUUAAUGAAUUAAAAGAUAUAAAUUAUCUGAGGUCUAUAGGUAAUAUUUCUCAACUUUGCUGUAAUUGUGUACUAGAUGUUCUCACCAAAGUAUUUAAAAAUUCGACUUAUGAAUUUAUUUUCCUCAUUAAUAUAAAAAAUUCAUAAAAUUGUUUCUAGGUUGACAGAUUUUUGUUGAACUCAAAUAGUGUUUUUAUUCCAUGAUUAUUCAUAUAUGACUCAAGAAUAAACUAUUUCAUUGCCACUAUUAGGUACAACUUGUGAUUUUGCAUUGACUCUUUUUGAAAAAGUCAUAAUACUAAGUACAUUGAAUAUGUACAGCAAAAUAUUCUCUUAAAUAACAUAUAUAUAUAUAUAUUAACUCUAUAGUUCCAUAUUAUCAUUAUGUUCAAUGAAAUAAGGAAGCUGUGAAUUAGUGUGGCUACUUUGAAUUGAAGUAGGAGGAAAUGAUUUUGGUGUUCUCACAUCAGAUUAAUAUUUCCUGUAGUGUAUAAAACCCCACCAAACCAAUGCUCUUCUACUUAGCAGUAAUAAGGACACAAGCAGGAAAUGGACAUACAGUUUGUUUAGAAUAAUGAUUUAGUUACAAAAUGUCCAUUGCAAUACGAACUGCAUGUAAAGAGUGAAUUGUUUGAUUCUUUGUUCUCUGUUAUGUUGAUUUUAUAACUGCCUGGUUUAUGAAAACUGAAUCUCCCAAUUCAACUAAAAUAAUUGUUAAUAUCAAGUGUCAUGAAAUAUUCCAGAAUAACUAUAAAUCCAUAGCUAAUGUGAAUUAUACUUUUAAAGAUGGGCAAUAAUCUAAACCGUUGGGAAAUUCAACUAUACUUUCAGAAUCCUAAAAAAUACAACCAGUAUCAAAUUCAAAAUUCAGAUAAAGAUUCACAAGAGAUUAAAAUUUAAAACUAGUUAUCUUCUAAGACCAGAAAAUCUAUGUGCAAUAAUUCAGACAUAAUUACUUAUAUCAUCACCUCCUAUUUACAUCAAUAAAGAGCAAUGGAGAGGUAUGCGACCAUGUUCACUUAUUUUAUUCAGUUCAAAUUGAAUCUUCAGGCAUAGAAAUAACUUGGCAUCAUACAUUAUUUUAAAAAGCGGUAAGUUUGAAUGUUAACAUAAUCAAUAAAUAAAAAAGGAAACAAAAAAGAAAUGGAGCUUUGAAGAGGUCUCAGUGACUAAGAUUACUGUUCUUCCAGAAGACCUAAGUCUAAAUCCCAGCACCCAUGUCAGGUACCUUACAAGCACAGGGAAACUCAGUGCAGAGGAUCCAAGUAUGUAGACAAAUAUGAUUUAAAGCAAAUUAAAUAAAUCUUAAAAAGUAAGCACAGAAAUUCCAGGGAUAUAUUUGAAGGAGUCGUUUACAAUGACAAGAUUGUCAUUUUAGGAUCAGAUACUCUUGCUUGCAUCCAUGACCAAGACCUUUGGAGGCAGAGGUAAGAAGCCUCAGAAUCAAGGACACAGACUUCAGGUUUAGGCAAGUGAAAACCCAGUUCAUUUAUUUCAGGAACUGGGCAAGCCUUUAUACCUUCCAGCCAGGCACCAUUGGCCCAUGGUUAUUGUUCUGGGCAUGUUCUCCGUCAUCAUUCUUUGCAAGGAGUCAGGCAAGCUUUAGGGGUUAGGGUUAGCAGCACAUGGUCGACCCUUGUGAACUGCAGGUCACGGUUUUCUGACUCAUUCCUCCUACAAACAAAUUAUUUUCACUGCUAUUGAAUAAUGCUCCUUUGAUAAAUCAUUAAAAUCCUGUCAGGCUUCAGCUCUCAUUUGAGCUGUAAAUGUUAGAUAAAUCAGACAUUGAGUUGAAAUAAUUUUAAAGUACUGUGAAAUUUAAUUAUAUCUCAUAUUACCAUUAGAGAUUAAUUAUAAUGAAUGAGUUUAUAACUUUAAUGAUAUCCGUUUAAUGAAUGCUAAGAAUGAUGUGUCUAAUAGGCUAUUCUGAUACUUAAAGUGCAAUCAUCAAUGAACCAAAAUAAACCUUCGGUUGCAGUUUGUUUCACUUAUUCAGAUUUUAUUCACCAAUCGUUUCUUAAUUUUAGUUUCAGUAACAAUAAAAAUAAGAUCAUAAAAUCAUGUAUAAUACCUUUUUCAUUUUAUUUUGCUUUCAGAUAACUAUUGAAACCUUGUGAUGGGUGAAUUGUUUUAUUAGUAUAGAUUUUCAUCAAUAUACUAUAAAUAGCCUAUUCAAAUUUACAACAAAUGUUUACAUCAUCAUAUGUGUAUGUGUGUGUGUGUAUGUGUGUGUGUAAUUCAAUAUAUAUUACUAAGUAGUCUUUAUAAAAUGUCCAAAGAAUGAGGUGCUCAUAUGGAGUACUUAAUUUCAUAAAACAAAAUUCUAGCCAUCAUCUUUUCUGGAUAACUGUGGCAAAGAUGAAGAGGUUUUCCCAGAAUGAUAUUUACAGUGUUAAUCUUAUAGCAAAUUUCCCUUUCAAGUGUGGGAUAAUAAACUUAUUCCUAUGUGAGGUUAAAUUUUUACUUAAUGCAAUAUUGUUAGGUAUCAUUGAGGACAUGAUCAAUGUAAUAAAUUUCAAAUUGAAAAAUAUUUGUACAUGUUUACCAUUUUAAGAGUGUAAAAGAAAAUAUAUUACUGCUUUCACAUAUAAGAGAACAAAACCACAUUAUCUUUACUUGAAACUCCAAAUAUUUAAAACACAUCUAUUCAAAAAUGAAAAAAAUGCAUGAUUUACAAAUUUUAAGCUUCAUUUAUCACUUUAAUGCUUUGAAGAAUUUCCUUAUCUAUUAUGUAAGCACAAUUACACAUUUGAAUUGCUGGAAGUUAAAGCUAAAGUUAAAACUCUGAUUAAAAUUUGAUGUUCAUUAACUUAAUAAUAAAAGUUUUAUCAAUUUUGUUAAUUUAAGCUGGAAACUUAAUGCUUUGAGGUAUUUUGUCUGACAAGUUUUAAACCCCUCUUUGAAAUAAGCAGUAAUAAUACUUCUAAAAUAUUGGAAUUUUAAGAUUAGUCAAAAAAAAUCAAAUCUCUCUGAAUAGUUUUUCAUUGUUACACUAAUGAGUUCGUCAUCUCAGUAGAGCCUACAAUCAUCUGAUUGUAAAGUCUCAGAUGAAGAAUUACCCAGACCUAAUGUCUCCAUGGCCAUAUUUCAGGGGUGUUGUUUUUAUUAUUAUUAACUGACAUAGAAGGGACAAACUGACUGUGUGCAAUACCAUCUCUAGCUGGAUGGUCUUAAAUUACAUAAGAACAUUUGCUAAACAUGGAGUAGUGAGGGAACAAAUGUAAGACAGACAACAACCUGCUUUCUGCACUACAGAUUUCUGAUUCAAGUUCUUACUUUUACUUACUUCAGUGGCCUAUGGUGAUUUGGAAAUAAAAGUCAUGCCAGCCCCCUUUCCCCUAAGCUGCUUUUAGUCAGAGGGGUUUGAUCACAGCAAUAUAAAGAAAACUAUAAAAAAUAUUUACUGUAUUACUAAUAGUUCAGCAUCUAGAUACUUCCAAUAAAAAGCCCAUUUUACUGAUAUAUAACUGAACUUUGGUGACUGGGGGAAUAUUAAACAUGAAAAUUACUCAGAGCUUUAAGUUUAUAUUUUUUUCCUUUAAAGAAAAAGUUUUCAUCUAUUUCAAAUGGCUCUAGUCCAAAUCUCAAUUGUCCUAAUUAUAGGAUCUUAAAAUACCUGUAAUAUUAGACAUCUUUAGAGUUCCCUGCUUAGAAGUAAAAAAGAGUACUUCAAUGACAUAGACAAUGUAAUAGAAUAUGUACUAAUUGCUACAACAAUGGCAGAAGGAGCCACUAACUGAGGAAUAUAGUGAAAUAUUCCCAUAUGCUUAUGUUUUUGAACACUUGGUCCCCAGCUUGACAUGCUAUUUGUGACAGCUAUAUAGCGUUUAUAAAGUACACCCAUGCUGGGGGAAGUAGAUCACUGUGGCCGAGUGUUGAAGUUUUAUAUCCUGACCCCAUUUCUGACUCAUCCUCUGCUUGCUCACUGCAGAUGCCAUCAGACCAAACAGCCUCUCUCUCCUCCCAUGUCUACAUCUCUAUGGUAGAAAAUAUAACCUGGUUCUCUAAACAAUAAUAAACCUUUCCCUUCCCUAAAUUGGUUCUUGUCAAGUAUAUUGUCAGGUCAAUGAGAAAAUUCAUAGAGAAAAUAGUAUCUCGACACUGAAAAUAGCAAGAGAGCACAUUCCCCUAAAGCAUCCAAGAAAACUGUCUUGUCAAGACAUGCAUCUGGGUCAGUAUUUUGUAUUUUGCAUUUCUAACCUCCUAAAUUAGAAAUCAGCACAUAUGUGUUUCCAGAUGUAAAUUUUAUAUUAGUUAAUAAAUAAUAGAAACUUAAUAGAAAAUUAAAUAAAAAUAAAUUCAGCAUUUGCAUUUAUACUGAAAGACUUCAGAAGGGAACACUAUUAAUUGCAUUUUGCCCUCUUCAAGGACACAAUUGGUAGGCUGGCAUACAAGCUUAAAGUACACAGAAUAGGCAUUCAGGAAUGUUUUAAAAUGGGUAUCAGUUGUCUACAAGAUACAUUUAUCCUUACUUAGAGGUAUUUCCAGUGUUUUAUUUUUGAGAAUUGGCUGACAAAAGUAGAGCUAUCUGGUCAAUAUAGGAUAAUCUUCUUUGUUUAAUGCUAUAAGCUGGUACACUUUAUUCCUAUUAAGGAUGUCUAUUCAAAGGAAAACGAUGAUUAGUAUUUGAACAAUAGAGAAUUAUAACCUAGCCAAAACAAAUAUAUUUAAGGACAAUUAAAUGAUUUUUAGUGCAAGAAAAGAAUUCAGUAGUGAAUUUAGUAGUGGAGAAUAGCAUUAUCAUCAUCAUCAUCAUCAUCAUCAUCAUCAUCAAUUAGCUUAAUUCUAGAUGGAAUUUGAGGGGUGAAGAUAUAGCUACCUAAGGAGAAGGAAAUGAAGUCAGUCUUUCAGAAGCAAUGUUAAAAAUGUGUGUGUGUGUUUACAUGAAUCCCCUGAUAUGGCAGCGGAUGAUAGGGUCACCGGGGCCUAAUUACUACCAGCCUACUUUUAGGUCCAAUGAGAUACUGUACUGUCUCUAGAGAAUAAGAUAGAAUUACAGAGUAUGAUUCUCGGCCUGUUACUCUGUUUUCUUGGUGAAUGCUUGUAUGUAUAUCCAGAAGCACAUCUGUGCAUACGCAUAUGCUGUACACAUACAUAUAUUCAAGCACACAUAUACACACAAAUGAAAUGAAAACAAUCUUAAGAUUGGAUAUAAUUUGGAUUCCCAAUCUUCUUUCUAAUUAAUGAGAUCCCUCAAGCGGGAUAUCAUGCUGAUGAGGAUGUGAAACAAUUGGUACACGUCUCCGUUUCUGGUGGGACUGCAAACUUGUACAACCACGAUGGAAAUCAAUAUGCCUGUUGCUCAGAAAAUUGGGAAAUGAUGUAUCUCAAAACCACCCCUGGGAUUAUACCCAAAGCCACUCCGUCGUACCAUAGGACACUUCCUUAACUGUGUUUACAGCAGCUUUAUCCGUACUAGGCGUAAGCAGGAAACAACAUAGAUUUCCCUCAACUGAAGAAUGAAUGAAGAAAAUGUGACACAGACAACCGAGCAUCACUCAUCUGUUAAAAAAAAAUGACAUCGUGAAAUUUGCAGGCAAAAGAAUGGAACUGCAAAAUGUCAUUCAGCAUGAGUGAACUCAGAUACAGAAGACAAAUAUACUUGCUUAUAAUUGGAUAUUAGCUAUUAAAUAAAGGAUUAUCAAGCUACAAUCCAUAGACGCAAAGAAGUUAGGCAAAGAGGAGGACUCUAUAGUGGGCGGGACAGGACAGAUGAAUCUCCAUGGAAAGAGAAAUCCAAAUAGAUUUUGUGGGGAGACUAGGGGAAUGUAGGAAAAUAUGUGGGAAGAAUGGGAGGGAGAAAAGAUGGAGUGGGAGCCUGAAGACCAAUAUACUUGGAAGUGGGAGGCAUUUGACAAGAACACUGGAUGUCUAGUGCAGUAAAACAUUCCUGGGAUCUAUUAGGGUGACCCUGCUGAGGAUGUUUCCUGAUGCAUGAUAUGGAGUCUGAACUGGCUAUAUUUUCCACCCAGGCAAGGCUUCAAGUGCUGCGUCUAGGUUACAUUUAGUUGAGUUAUUGGCCUGGGAGAUCCUGUGGAAAUCCGGAAACAACCUGGGCUGAUGCUGGGGCAGAUUAUUCCUUUCUGAAAACUGAUAGCAGGGCCCCUGUUACAGAGGACAACAGCCACACACCUCAUUGACGAUAAAGAAAUUGAGCUCAUCCUUGCAUGGAGCCUUCAUCCUUAUGUUCUAGUCACUUUGGUUCAAGAAGUUACUCUAAAGUCUGGACACCAAUGCAGCCACAAUUACCUCUUUCUAUAGUCUGCCCAGCCUGGGAGAUUUGCAAGUGCAGUACAGGAGCAGAAUUUGAAGUCAACCAAUGGAUGGUUUAACUUGAGGCUCGUGCCAUCAGAGGGAGUCCGUGUCUAGAAACUGGAGACUGGGUAGCUCAGAGACUUAAGGUAGAACGAACAUUAAGAAAAAACAGUGUGUUUGUGUGUGUGUGUGUGUGUGUGUGUGUGUGUGUGUGUGUGUGUGUGUGUAAGAGAGAGAGAGAGAGACAGAGAGACAGAGAGAGAGAGAGACAGAGAGAGAGAAUAUAAAUGAUUCAUACUAUACACAUAUCAGGAGGCGCCAUCUAGCAGCAGAUGGGAGCUGGUGCAAAGACCCACAGCCAGACAUUUUGUAGAGUAGGUCUAACUCGGAGGUCUUCAUGGGGUCCUGUCUCUGAGAGCUCGUAGACUCCCAUGGAAAAUUUGGAUGAAAGAUUGUAGGAGUGAGAGAGUUUAGAAGACACCAGGAGAACAUGGCUCACUGAAUCAACUGAGCAGGGAUGCUAUGGGCUUGUGCAGAAAGAAGUGGCAAUCACAGAGCCAUCAUGGGGCUGCAAAUGUUAUGGCUAUUAGUUUGUGUUCUUGUGGGACCCACAACAGUGGGAGAAACUAUGACUCUGACUCUUUUGCUCCCCUUAGAAGAUCUUUCUUCCUAUUGAGUUGCAUUGUCCAGCCUUACAAUGAGAGCUCUUAUCUUGCCUUAUUGUAUAUUGUUUUGUGAUGCUUGGUUGCUGUCCUUGGAGGCCCAUUCUUUUCUGAACAGGGGAAGAGAUGAGGGAAAAGAUACCUGAAGGGAAUGAAGGGAGAGGAAACUGGAGUCCGGAUGUUUUUCCAUUAGAGAAGAUGCUAUUUUAGAUUAAAAUGUAAAAAAAAAAGUAAAACAAAACCAAAUUAAAAUGGAAAAUUCAUUUACCUUCAAAUGAAACAAAUAUUUGAUAAUUAUGGUAGGCAUAAAGGAUGUUUGCAUAAUCAUAACUACUUAAAACCCAGAUGCUUCACAAUAUACCUAAAUUAUGCCCAUUCUAUUAUCCAGCCCUGAGUAUAAGGAUCUCAGGACAUAAACUAAAUUAUCUGCAGCUGCAACAAAACACAUGCAGUUUCUUUCAAAGUCUUUAGUUAGAAUGUCACAUUCUUCUAGAAAGAAAGAUCUAAUGCUGUGUCACUCAAGGUAGUUUGUCUUGUCUCAUCUGAAUCUGGAUGUGAGCAUUUCUUAUCACCCAUCUUCUCUUUCUGAGGCAGUCCUGUCAUUACUAGCCAAUGUCCUUGGUGUCCUUGGAGAUGAGGAAAAUGAAAUACAGUUAAACAAAAUACAAGUUUCACAUUAGUUAACUGCUGACUAAUGUCAUAGAGGUUGGUAAUAGAUCAGACAAAAAUCACUGACUAAACGAUCAUGUUUAGUGACCCUGAACACCAGGGUCCAUGUUCAAUACUUUUAAAAAUAUAAUUAUGGAAAAUUUCAAUCUCAGCUGGCUAAACCAUAGCUACUGGAAAUGGAGAAAGUCAUGAAGCCAGCACAGUUGCUCACUAGAGUUCCAACAAGGCUGAGCAGAAUGCGUGACUGCUGUCAGUCUCUCUUUCACUUUUAGGUUUUGGUGUCUACAUGUUGGAUUCUUGGGGACUUUCUGCAUUGUGGUUAAUUUUAUGUCUUUUCCCCAGAAAAUUGUGUUCAAACUUACUAUCUCUCCUGCUUUUAGAGAAAUAACUGUAUCUAGCCACUAUUUGGAAGACUUUCUUAUGUCCUGGAGAUUGUGCUAAACUCGGAUUAGAAAAAGCUAGGCCUUUCUAAGUGAGGCCAUGACUCCAGAAACCUUCUUGCGGUAUCUGUGAAUAAGCAAACUCAAAUAGAGUAAUUGGUAAGGGUAAACAAAGACAAUUAACUAACUCCAACUGCCCAGGAAAGUUAUGUACAGAUUUAGGCAACUUGUAACAAUAUGCUUAGAGUUCACUGAAACUGUAGUUUAAAGAGAGAGGUUGUACAAAGUCCGACAUCUGGAGGGAUAGAACUCGACACUACUUUGUAGUGUAGAUGAUGAAACAACAUUGUAAAAGGGAUUGGGUAUUAGUAUUUGUGAUUUUAUAAAAAUAAUGGUUCAGAUCUUUCUGUUUGUCUGGAGUGCUUUAAAAAGGGAAAAUAGUGCCAGCCUAGGAGCAGCCUGUCAUAUAAUAAAUAUAUUUGCAUUGAAGGAGACAUUCUUUAGAUUUCUUGAAUUGGAGUUAUGGAGCUAAUAAUAAAAGUUAAAUCUUCUCUAUUUGUGCUUUCUAAAUGUGACUGAACUUGUUACUCCAUACGUGUAAUGAAUAUCAAACACAUGUCAAAAGACAAAAUUAUAUUAUCUGUACUUCUUAAGUAAUCAUUAGUCUGUCUUUGUUCUGUGAAAACAGUAUAAAUAAAAAAGUAAUUUGAUUGGUAGUCACUCACAGCUGCAAAAUUCCCCAGGAAAAAAAAGCAAAAUGUGAUAGAACAUAAAUAAUAUUUAGGAAUAUGAUUAUUUUUAUAAGAUUAGUAAUCAUUCUGUCAUUUUCAUCCUUUACUUGAAGUGACUUUAUCACCCAUUAAUGUUUAUUAAGAUUAAAACUAGAACAAUAUCUUGUUUUCUUAUUUUUAACUUUAUCCUUUGCUGAGAUAAUGGGGAGGCAAAGACAAGUCAUUCUGAAAUGUUUCUGCUUCAUGUUCUCAGUAACUUUUUGAGAUUAUUUCUCUCAGUGUGCACCUAUUUUGACCGAGUGGAAAAGCAUUACCUCAGUAAAGCAAACGGUGUUCUAACAUCGUGUUUCCAUUUAGCAACAGAACAUGUUAGUCUAAAAGUGGGACAAACAGUUCAGUAAGUCCCUGUUGGUUAAUUCAACCAUUGCUCUGAAGAUUGGCUGUUACAUGCAUUAUGUACAGCGCCUGUGGCAGAUGGUCAGCAGAGAUGAAACUGUCCCUGUCAGUGAAUUUCCAUCUUUUCACCCCUAUACACAAGGUACAGAUGGCAGUGGGAGUGACUUUCACUUCAGCAAGGGCUCUAAGAACAGACCAUGGUUGACCUGAGACUUGCUAUUAAAGAAAUGUCUGUCUUGCUUAUAAAAGAGACAAAAGCCCUUCUGUGGGAUAAUAAACACCCUGAGCAAAGAAAGAUGUGUAGUUCAGAUCUAUGCAGACAAAGACAGGAACUUCAUGCACAAGAUACACUGAAAUCUCUGUUUUCACAUGUGGAGAAUUCCCACCAGCAAGGGGGAAAGUAUUCUACAAUGUUUUCCUUCUUAAACUUUACCAUAACUAAACUACAACUCUUUUAUUAGUAGUAAUAAUUAGAGGUCAUGGAGAAUAAAACAUAAUUUAGUCUGCCAAUAAUUGUUAAAAUUGAUCACUAUCAUUCAUACAUCUAAUACAUAUCCAGUCACUCUCUGUGACUCUUUCCAUCCAACACAUCACUGACCAUCUGCUUGGUUAGCUUAUUCACAGUGGACAUAAAGGCUGCUCUGGUUUGCCAUGAUGGCAGGCUUUCCUUUUGUCUUACACCUGGGCUGCAUCACUCAUGAAUGUCAUCUACCUGGACAUUCAUUUUAUAGAACUAAAACUCAAAGCCCUCAAACAGAAAUGUACAGCCAAUUAACUGGAUGCCCUGCUGAAACAGAAUGUGCCAGGUUCCAUUUGUAUCUCAGUGGAAACUUGGGCCACAGAUAUUUGUGGUUCUGAAGUUGCAGGACAAAGUUGACAAUAUUGACAUGAAAAUUACUCCAUUAGGUUUGAAAACAGACAAACACAAUUCAUCAAACAUUCUUGAUCCUGGGUUGUAUUUUGGAGGGGGCUCAAGAUGAAAAGCAUUCUCCCAAGCAACUCUUGAUUCAUGAACUAGUGCUUUGAUUUUCUGGGAAAUUCAAAACAAAUCGCUGCACACUGAGCAGUUUUAUCAACUGAGUAACAUCUUUAACAAGCUAUUGGAGUUGGAUAUUGAACAUAGAGAAGCCAAUGUUAUUGGGGUCUUCUGGGAUAUUUGCCGGGACAGUAAGGAUGCUGGCUUCUUGAUGCUUCUGCCAUGCCAUUUCUGUGCACCUGCUUUCCUGUGUCACUCUUCUAUUUUUAUCCUAAUCAGACAGAUGCCAUGUGGCAUUUGGACCACAAAAAGUUUCACUUAUUGUUAAAAAUUCAUCUCCAGCUAUGUUUACCUACUGAACUUCAGAAAGUUCUUACUUCAAUAUAUACAUUUUUGAAAGACAGCCUCAGUUAAUAUUACUGAGAUGACACAAUCACCAAUAAAAGAAAAAAAAACAACAAACAAGAAACAAACAAAAAUUACCAGGCAUUGAGAGCUAUUUCAGCUAACUUUUUAGACAAAGAUUAGUAUUGCUUAGCCACUCUCUCAAAGGGAUUGGGGAAUUUAUCACAGCAUCUGUUUAGGGCAGAAAAAAAUAAUUCCAUCCUAGAAAUCAGUGUUGCUGAAUACUAUGAUUAGACUUCCUCUUAGGAAAUCUCUACUCUUUUCCACCAGUGUAUGGAACUCUUCAUAAGUACAUGUUGUAUUAGUAGUUUUAUAUAUAUUCAAAACUGAUGGCCAUCUUUGUACUAAAUUUUACAAAAUAAUAUUUCUAUAAAAUUCUACCUUUAAAAGUACAGUUAAAGUAAACAUAAGAUACAUACUACCACAAAUAUUGUUAUCCAUUUAUCUUUGUCAUUUUUUAAUUUAAAAGAACACAAGAAAUUAAAUUUCUUUCUUUGCAUCUUCAUUCUUUUACUACUUUGUCCUGGUCCCUUUCCUUCUUCUUUCUCAUUUAUUUUCUUUGUGUCUGUGUCUAUCUCUGUGUCUGUCUCUGUCACUAUCUAUCUACUUAUCUCUCCAUGUUUUAUCCAAAUCUAAAAAUAAAUUAUAGAUUGUUUGUAAUAAUAAAUAAAUAAGCACAGAAAAUAAAGUACAUAAAAAUAUUCCCUAAUAACUAGUACAACUGAUAAACACCUUUAGCAAAGUGGUUGGACACAAAAUUAACUCAAAUAGUAGUCAGUGGCCCUCAUAUUGCAAGCAAUAAAUAGGCUGAGAAAGAUAUUAGGGAAAGAAUACUCUUUUCAAUAUUCAGAAAUAAUAUUAAAUAUCUUAGUGUAACUCUAGACAAUCAAGUAAGAGACCUGUAUGAGAAGAAUGUCAUGUCUUUGAAGAAAAUAAAAUAGAAUUUAUCAGAAGUUUGAAUGAUCUACCAUGAUCAUGGUUCAGCAGGAUCAACAUAGUAAAAAUAGCCAUUUUACAAAAAACAUCUACAGAUACAAUGCAACUCCCAUCAAAAUACCAACACAAUGCAUUCAAGACCUUAACAGUGGAAUACUAAACUUCCUUAGAAAACAAUCUGAGAUAGUUUAAACAAUUCUGUGUCAUAAGAUAACUUCGGGAGGUAUUAUGAUUUCAAGCUUCACUAUAUAGCAAUAGUAAUAAAAAAAAUCACAUGGUUUUGGCAUAAAAAUGUAGUCGAAUCCAAUAGCCAAACAAAAAUUCAUACACCAGUGUAUACUUGAUUUUUUCCAAAGAAGACAGAAUUAUACAAUGGAAAAAAAUGAUAAGAGAAAAGAAAGGCCUCAAGUAUCUCGUGGAGCAGAGAGUUCACUGAUGUGUACCAUGACAAAAGAUAAAUGUUUUCAGGAAAGUUGACUCUGGCAGGAGGUUCCAUGGGGACCAGCCCAGGGCCUAACAGGAAGUGGACUUCACUAAGAUAAAGCCAAGAAAAUAUGGUUGCAAGUAUCUCCUAGUAUUUGGAGAUACCUUUUCAGGAAUGGGUAGAUGCUUUCCCCACCAAGCAAGAGACAGCCUCGGUAGUCAUCAAGAAGAUACUGGAAGAAAUCUCCCCCCCCCAACCCUGCUUCAGAGUUCCCAACAUAAUCAGGUCAGACAAUGGCCCCGCUUUCUUUGCCAAGGUAAGCCAGGGUGUGCUCAAGUAUUUAGAGAUCAAUUGGAAAUUACAUUGCCUCUGCAAACCUCAAAACUCAGAACAGGUAGAGAGAAUAAAUAGAACUCUAAAAGAGACCCUGACCAAAUUGACCAUGGAGACUGGCGCAGACUGGGUGGCACUCCUUCCCUCUUGCUCUCUUCGGAGCAAGAAAUACUCAUCCAAAUUCAGCCUUAGCCCCUUUGAGAUCUUAUAUGGGGUACUAGCUCCUUUGAUUGUAUUAGAUGAUGUUAUUGAAUGAACACAUCAUAGUAAUAAUGAUUUGUAUGCCAGGCUAAAAGGCUUACAGAUGAUACAGAAAGAAGUCUGGUCACAGCUGGCAGCAGCCUAUGCCCCAGAGACUCCUAAGACAGCUCAUCAGUUCCAGGUCAGAGACUCGGUCUACGUAUGACAACACCAGGCCCAGACUCCUGAGCCUUACUGGAAAGGACCGUACCUGGUGCUGCUGACCACCCUGACAGUCGUCAAGUGUCAGCUCUCACCAGCCAACUACUAGCUGUUGGGAUUGGGCGGGCUGGGACCUCGAAGGACACUAGGAUCUUUACAAAGCUCCCUGAACCUGCAAGUCAGAUAAGUGGAUACACCAGAGACGUGACUGGGGGCUUGCUGUAAUGCUCACUUAAGGAGUGUUCUUUGGAAACAAGAAUUUUAUGUUUGCCCUAGGCUCCAUCGAGAUAGGCCCCUCAAACAUAGGUGUGGGGGUAGGCUUGAUUUCUAUUGCAAAUGAUGUAACAUCCCCUUACUUUGAAGCCACUGCAUACGUUAGUACUCCUAACACUUCCUGGGCGAAUGCCUCCUGGGUCACAACCUGUAUAAGUUUAGAAGUUCUAAAAGGCAAUCAUGACUUUUGUGUGUUAGUUCAUAUAGUGCCUAGGUUGUUAUGCCAUCCCUAUGAGGAAGUACUCAACUAUUAGGAUCCUGUUGCUAGAGACUUAGUAAGACACAAAAGAGAGUUGGGAAUUACUCUGGCAAUUAUCUUAAGGCUGAGUUUAGGUGCUGCAGGAGCAGCUGCAGGGACAUCUGCCAUUGCCCUGCAACACAAGGCUUAUAGAGAAUUGAGGGCUGCCAUUGACUUAGAUAUAGAAAAGAUAGGAAAGACUUUAACUGACCUCCAAGAAUCCCUGACCUCCCUCUAAGAUAUAGUCCUUCAGAAUAAGAGAGGAUUGGAUUUACUGUUUUUUAUUCCUUAAAGAAGGAGGCCUGUGUUGGUUUUAUAUAGAUCACUCAGGAAGAGUUAAAGACAAUUUGGCUAAGAUUAGAGAAGGAUUAGAACAAAGUUUUUUUUUUUUUUUUAAGAGAGAGAGAGCUCAAGAAAAAAGUUGGUUUGAAACCUGUUCAAUUCUUCCCCUUGGUUCACAACUCUGGUUUAUUGCUUAUUGGUAUGGUACUGAUAAUGAUGUUAAAACAGCAAUAUGGGGGCUGGGGAUUUAGCUCAGUGGUAGAGCGCUUAUCUAGGAAGCGCAAGGCCCUGGGUUCGGUCCUCAGUUCGGAAAAAAAAAAAAAAAAGAACCAAAAAACAGCAAUAUGAGCUCAUCAGUAGUGAUGAGAUUAAGUUAUAAUUUUGAGAUUAAAACUAUGACAAAAGAAAAAGGGCAGAAUGAAGAAAUAAAGUUUCAUAGAUGUAAGAAACAAAGUUGUAAAAACAAGGUUUUGAGAAAUACAUCUGGUGGUCAGAAUGCCUAUGACAAACUUGUGACCUUUCUGAGAGACACAUCUAACAUCAAGAUGGCCAGUGAUAUGAUAAGUUUUGGUGCUCAAGAUUCUGACUAAGCUAAUUAAGCAAUCCCCUAACCCUCCCUGUGGUAAAUUCCAAGAACAACUGCAAGAUGUCAUCCUGACCCUGUCCGACCACCCAGUUCCUCUCCCCCUCCUAAGGGACAUGCCAACUUAGCUCUUUCCCAGAGAAUCACCAAGGCCAGGUGUAGGGCUGGAUGAGGAAGUGACUAAUUGAGCCAAGAACAGCCCCUUGAGCAGGCCAGCCAAUACCUGACCAGAUCCUUUGUCCUGUGUACCACCAAUGAGAAAAGGCCAGCUAACCCUGUUGCUGAAGUCUGCCUUCUGUAACAACAACAACAACAACAAAAAAGUUGUGUGCUUUUUGGGUUUGGGGUUGCCUCUCUCUGCAUGGAUGAACAAUCCCAUGUAUGUGGAUUAAAAACUUUAUACCUUCAAAAAAAAGUUCAGCAUCCUUAGUCAUCAGGGAACUGCAAAUCAAAACAAACCUGAGAUUCUGACUCCACCUCGCACUAGUUAGAAUGGCUAAGAUUAAUAAAACAAACAAACAAAAAAACCAAAAAAAAAAAAAAACCAAAAAAACAAAAAAACUCAGGUAACAGCAGAUGCACUCCUCUACUGUUGGUGGGAUUGCAAACUGGUACAAUAACUCUGGAAAUCAGUCUGGAGCUUCCUCAGAAAAUUGGAUAUUCCACUACCUGAGGAUCCAGGUAUACCUCUCCUAGGCAUAUACCCAACAUAUAACAAGGACACAUGCUCCCCUAUGUUCAUAGCAGCCUAAUUUAUAACAGCCAGAAGCUGGAAAGAAGCCAGAUUUCCUUCAACAGAGGGAUGGAUUGAGAAAAUGUGUCACAUCUACACAAUGGAGAACUACUCAGCUAUCCAAAACAAUGACCUCCUGAAAUUCAAAGGCAAAUGGAUUGAACUAGAAAUUAUCAUCCUGAGGUAACCCAAUCACAGAAAAACACACAUGGUAUGCACUCAUUGAUAAAUGGAUAUUAACCCAAAAUCUCAAAUUACCCAAGAUGCAAUCUACAGACAACAUGAAGUUCAAGAAGGAUGACCAAAAUUUAGAUGCUUCACUCCUUCGUAAAAUGGGAAACAAAAAUAUCCAUAAAGGGAUAUGGAGGCAAAGUUUAGAGCAGAGACUUAAGGAACUGUCAUUCAGAUCCUGCCCCACCUGGGAAUCCAGCUCAUAUAUAGACAACCACCAAACCUAGAUAAAAUUGAUGGUGCCAAAAAGUAUAUACUGACAGAAACCUGAGAUGCUCAGCCAGGGUGUGACAAUUACAGAGCCAAAUGCUAGCAGCAAACCAAUAAACUGAGAAUGGGAUCCCUGUAGGAGGAAUUAGAUAAAGGGUUGAAGAAGCUAAAGGGGCUUGCAACCCUAUAAGAACAACAAUACCAACCAACCAGAGUUCCCAGGGAUUAAACCACUACCCAAAGACUAUACAUGGACAGACCCAUGGCUCCAACUACAUAUGUAGCAGAAGAUAGCCUCUUGGGCACCAAUGGAAGGAGAAGUCCCUGGACUGCCAAGGCUGGACCCCCCCCAGUGUAAGGGAAUGGGGGGCAGAAAGGGCGGUGGUUGGGCAGGGGGAACACCCUUAUAGAAGAAGGAGAGGGUGAUGGUAUAGGGGACUUAAGGAUGGGAAACAGGGAAAGGGAAUAACAAUUGAAAAGUAAAUAAAAAUAUCAAAUAAUAAAUGUUUUAGUCCCAAAAUACUGUUAAAGACUGUAGGAAGAUGGAAUGAUUCAGGAUUCUGAAACAGUAAUGCUAACCUGGUGCCUUGCCACAUGCCAGCACAUAGCCUUGCUAUCUUACUUCUGUUUUCUGUUAAGCAAUUCUAACACUGUAAGUGGUUUGCCAUUGCUUAUAAUGACAGGGGCAUUCUUAAUUCAGCGCCUUAGACUGCUCGGCCACGUUACCCAGCUAACAGGGGCAUUCUUAUACAUUAGAUAAUUUUCUUACUAUUUCAAGCAGUCAGCACAACUCAGUUUUCAGCCUUGGUCUUGACAUUUAGUGCUUUUUGGUUUAAUGUUUUUGCAUAUUCUCUAAAAAAUUAAUAAACCAAACAUCUAGAUUUCAGUAGAGUUGAAGGUUCCUCCUGAAAUCUGUAUAGGCUAACUAACUUUUCCAACUUUUCCUUCCCAUCAUCCUUGUCUUCCCUUCCUGCCUUAGAAAGAAGGAAAUUACCCUCAAACAGUGAAAGCCAAUUUUUUCCCUAUUUUCUACAAUUAGGAUAAUUAGCUGUACAAUAAAUAAAGUCACAAACAGAAUUUAUCAUUGCAGUCCUGUGGCCCCUAGAAUCCUGAUGACCUCUUGAUCCAUGAUAGAGAUUGUUCAGCCAUGUGUUUUCACUUUUCCUUUUUAAAGAUUUAUUUAUUCAUGUAUAUGAGUACAUAUACUGAAAUAUACCGUUUCUUCAGACUCAUCAGAAGAUGGCAUUGGAUCCCAUUUCAGAUGUUUGUAAGCCACCAUGUGGUUGCUAGAAAUUGAACUCAGGACUUCUGAAACAGUAGUCAGUGCUUUUAACUGCUGAGCCCUCUCUCCGGCUCACCAUCUCUCAUCUCUCUCUCUCUCUCUCUCUCUAUAUAUAUAUAUAUAUAUAAAGUUAGCUAAAAGAUACUGUCUGUAUUGUUAAUUUCCAUUAAAAUAAAUAAGUGUUUUAUUUAUCAUGUACAUUUAGACAUCAUUUACCUAAAAAAAAGAAUAUAAUCAAAUUUUCUAAAUGUUGUAUUGUUGGAAAUUACAAUGGUGAUUAUAAAUUUGCACCUCCCUGACAUCUAAAAAUGUUAUUUGCCAAAACAGGCAAUAUGAUGAAAAAUAACAACAUUAGAAACGCUCUUCUAUCCACAUGCAAACAUACCCAAAAAGACCCCAAAAUGAAAUUGGAACCCCUGGUACUUGAAUUAUAGAUAGUUUUUAAUCACCAUGUAGGUGCUAGGACUUAAACUAAAGCUGUCUGGAAGUGCAACCAAGUACUUUUAAAUGCUAAACCAUUUCUCAAUCUCUAUUCUUUUUCUUCCAUUUUUUUUCAUUUAGUUUAUAGCCACUCACUUAUUAUGAGAUUCCCUCUCUCCCUGUUUACUAAGACAAGGUCUGACUUCAUGGUCCUGGAAAUCAAUAUGUAAAUCAGGCUGGCUUCUAACUGGUGAGUGGUCCUUCUGCUUCACUUGGUUAUGAGGGUAAGCCAACAUCGGCCCAGAACUUUUGCAUGAUUUCUUAAACUGUUAUUAAUGGAAUUCUUAAUAAAGCUCAACUGUAAAUUUUUUUGUGAAAUAUCUCCAUGUCUAAACAGAAAUACAGAUUGUUUUUAGAGUAGUUGAAACUUGGAAUAAGAUUAGUAAUACAGUAUUGCGGUUUCUCUCUACCUUCUCCAAAAGUAACCCAAGCUAGCCAGAAGAAAUGAAAAUUUGGGAAUAUCUGAAGAUGUUACUGUCAUUGUCUGUUUACUACAAAUAAUUUCAUUUAAAAUAAAGUAUCAUUCCUACCAAACCCCAGAAAAAAAAGAAGAAAUGCAGUAUUGGAAAAAUGUAUUCUAGUGGAAGAAGUAAUUAUAAAAAUUAUUUUUAAAAUUUCCAGAUUUGACAUAGAAAUAUAAAAACAAAAAUCACAAGACUUGUGAGUUAGAAUAUGUCUUUUUUUUUAGUUUAUUUGUUUAAUAUUUCAGCCAAAAAUUUAGAAGAACUGUACAAAACACUAGGUGUUUCUGUAUACACAAUUCAUUUUUUUCCUUUCCAUUUUUAUAUUCAUUUAUUUAUUAUUGGAUCUUUUAUGUAUUUACCUUUCAAAUAUUAAGACAUUAAGGGAAUGGGUUUUCUUUCUUUUUUUGUUCUUUCCUUUUACAUGUGAUCUUAAGAGGGUCCUGAUGAGUAAACACGAAGCUCAAGUCUCAGGAAAAUCCUGUCACCCAUUCUCAGGACCUUUGGGCUGUAUAAUCUUCAUCGUGAGCCACUUUUCUGUUUUCAGUGCACGAAUAAUGCUUUUUGAAAUUUGAGUUCUCACCAUGAACUCAAUAUGCUGCUACCAGUACAACAUUCAACAUUUCAUUCAUGUUCUAAGUUAACUGAAAGGCAGUCAUCUAAAACAAACAUCACUUUCAAAGUAUAAGUUCGUUUGCAAUACAUCAAAAUAAAUAUGCUUAUGUGAAAUUCUGCAUUUGGUACAUAAACAAGAAGAAGAAAAUUCCAAGUACAUUAUUCUGAAAUAUGAGACACUGGCAUUAUUAAUUCUAUGCCAUACUGUGACCAAUUAUAAUACUUCAGCAUGAACAAUAAAGGACGUAAUAUACACUUUCAAGUAUGAGUAAAAAUGAGCACCUUUUGAUUUAAACAAA